rnacentral:rRNA from 1 species
ACGCUCGACACCUACGGGGGGCAGCAGUGGGGAAUAUUGGGCAAUGGGCGCAAGCCUGACCCAGCAACGCCGCGUGAAGGAAGAAGGCUUUCGGGUUGUAAACUUCUUUUCUCAGGGACGAAGGAAGUGACGGUACCUGAGGAACAAGCCACGGCUAACUACGUGCUAGCAGCCGCGGUAAUCUGAGCGGGCUGGCAAGGC